AGUAGUUGUAUUUACAGACUUCCAAGCUGAUCUAAGAUGAUUCACACCAAGUUAGUGUGUCACUGAAAACAACACUCAUUCCUGUUCCGGUUCUUAAUUGCAAUAUAUCGUUCAUUAGUCAUAAUCCUCACGUGUUGUUAUCAGCUUUAUCGAACCACAUUGAUAAAGACUUGCGCAGCCCACGAAAAAUGUGAUAAAUACGUACAACGAUAGGACCCUUAUCAUUCACUGUUGAUUUCACCUGCUGUAAACAAGCCCUUCUAUAAAUUAAUAAUUUACUUUGUGAACAAAAGGAACAAGUAAUGCCGCCCCCACACGCUCAGCCUUGUGGUCCCCAAUGCGGGACGUACUGUGUACCCCACUGCUAUUUCCGCCGACAAAUGGAGAUUCAUUAUCCCCAGAACCCAGUGGUGCCACCACAUCACCCACAUUACCCUCCCCCGCCACCACAUCACCAUCCCCACCAUCCACCACCACCGUAUUAUGAACAACCACAGUACCCACCAGGGCCUUAUCCCCCGCCCCAUUAUGCUCAGCCAUAUGGAGGGGCCACGCCACGCUAACUGGCUAAACGAAGGGUGCGUCUACACGGUGCAUGUAGCUGGAGCAAGUUAACAUGCGCAAGUGACAAACGACAGGUGACAAGAGCACGUGGGUCGCUGGACCCGCACGUCUUUGCAUGUAACCUGCGCAUGUGCCUCAACAUGCGCAAGCAUGCACCGUGUAGGUGCACCCUAACUUACUGCUCAACUCGACGAAUGGACUCCAUCACUCAUCAGCUAUUCCGAUGACACAUCGCUAUAGCCCUUAUUUCUGCAAAAAUGAGAUCUGCUAAAGAAAGAUUUUAUUAAUCUCUCUAAAACUGUAAAUUGAUACGGUGUAAUGAUUUAAUUAAUCUUAUCUGAAACGAUAAUGUUCGAAGAACGUACUGAUUUGAAAUAAAAGUGUACUCAAUGUUAAAAUGUUAUUGAUAUCGACACUCAAUUAAUAAAAAACUUUUU